GUUGCAAUUUUGGUGGGAGGGGUAAAAUGUUUAAAUACUCUGCACGCAGCCUGGAGCUUUCUCUUUGCUGCGUGCAAUGGAUCACCUGGAGCACUUGGACCGUCUGGAGGACAGUGGAGCGAUCUUCUCAUUGUCUGGUUACAUUUCUUUAUUUUCCCCUUCUUUUAAUCUUCUCUAGUCCCUUAAUUAAUUUAAUUCCCCCUUUUUUUUCUGUUUGAUUUCCCACCCCACCCCUUACCCUGCCCUUUGGGAAGAUUCUCCCUGUACCUGUGAGCGCUGCCUGUGCAUAAUCCUCCUGGGCUUGCCUUUCCCAAUAGGGAGAGAGCCCCCAUUAGGGGCUUUCUUUUGCAAAAAGGUUUCCCCAUUUUCGCCUGUUUAAUUGUCGGGCUAGCCAGGGCUGCUCCCAGCUUACCUGGAAUCACUUUCAUUUAUAGUAUCCCCAUAGGUUGGCUUUAUUUUGGGUGCGUGCAGUGCUGUUGGCCAAAUUUUAAUCUAGCCUUGGGCGGGAGCACUGUUUUGAGUUCCUUUAAUAUUGCAAUGAGACAAAAAAGGCAGAGAGCAGAAGCAGGGAGGCCUUCACGGCCUGCACGGCCUGCACAUAUCAUUCAAGCCUAAGCCUGCUACAGUUAGCAGUACAGUGAAUUCCCAGCUUACCUGGAAUCACUUUCGUUUAUAGUAUCCUCAUAGGUUGGCUUUAUUUUGGGUGAUUGCAGUGCUGUUGGCCGAGUUUUAAUUUAGCCUUGGGCGGGAGCACUAUUUUGAGUUCCUUUAAUAUUGCAAUGAGACAAAAAAGGCAGAGAGCAGAAGCAGGGAGGCCAUCACGGCCUGCACAUAUCAUUCAAGCCUAAGCCUGCUACAGUUAGCAGUACAGUGAAUUGUUAAGUUUCUGUAACAUGUGACUCAUUCUCUCUAUAAGAAUGUAUCUGUUGUUUGCAGGCUCACUUGUUGCUAGUGUAUAGCUUAGGCAGACAGAGUGGAGCCAGAGGCUCUCUGUGCCUCCAAUGAGCACUCUUUGUAUGCUCUUUAACUAUGCUGUUUCUGAACAAGUUUAUUUUCUUCAAGUUUGUUUUUCCCUGAUAGUGGCGACUGCCAUUUUAGAGACAAGCCAUUGUGGCUUAGUGGCUAGAGUACAGGACUAGGACCUGGGAGACAGGGUUCAUAUCCCUCACUUAGCCAUUGUUAUAACAAGGCAAAACAAGCUGCUCCUUUUGGACUAUUUUGUUGCUGGGUAGUUUGGCCCAUUUGUGAUAUUGCUCCCAAAAAGAACUUUGGGUUUCUUGAGGAGGUGCUUCCCUCUAAAGGGCAAGCAGGGGUACCUGGACAUGCGGUGGGCUGCCUCGAGUUUGUUAUCUCAUUGGAAACAUUUAUGUCUGGCCUAGCAGGUGAUCCUAGGGCUUGGCCCGCUUGGCCCUAGAAUUUGAUGGCCUCUGGCAGCGUUUCUGGCCUGAAUAGCGUCCCCAUGUGGUGCACAAAGCAUUGGUUUCACCUGUUCCUCACAUUGUUUAGGUUUUUCUUUUCGCAGACUAUGACAGGGCCUUUGCAGAUGCCUCCAGAGCUUGCCUCUCCUGCAGAGGAUGACUUGUUGAUGCCCCAGGUGCCUUCUUCAGGAAGGAAGCGUCUUCAGAGGCAGGAAAAAGCAUAGCAGGGAUGAUGCUUACACCUCCUUGCAGGUAAAUCAUCACUGGGCUCUGAUGAUGAUUCAGACAUCACCUUGGACCUCUCCAGGGGUCAGGGUGAGGCUGUUCCAGGUCUUUAGGGAGCAUCCUGGAUAGCUCAGCUGGUCAGCGUAUGGUGCCGGUAAUGCCUAGGUUGCAGGAUUGGUCCCUGUAUGGGACAGCUGCAUGCUCCCUCAUCACUUUACCCGGACACUGAGGUCCAGCGCCGAGGGCCUUUCUGGUGGUUCCCUCACUGUGAGAAGCCAAGUUACAGGGAACCAGGUGGAGGGCUUUCUCGGAAGUGGCACCUGCCCUGUGGUACACCCUCCCACCAGAUGUCUACUACCAGACUUUUAGAAGACAUCUAAGGCAGCCCUGUUUAGGGAGCUUUUAAUGUUUGAUGCAUUACUGUAUUUUAAUAUUUUGUUGGAAGCUGCCCAGAGUGGCUGGGGAAGCCCAGCCAGAUGGGCGGGGUACAAAUAGAUGAUGAUGAUGAUGAUGAUGAUGAUGAUAUUGUGGGAGAGUGGACUAGAUGAUCCUAGGAGUCCCUUCCAACCCCACUAUUCUAUAAGUGGUAAUUCACUAUGAUGGGAAUGUUAGACGCAGGGCUGCCAUCAUCCCCUUAGCUCGCUAGGAUCGCAGGGACGGGGACAUGUGGACCACUUGCGCAGCUCCACAUUUCAAAUGGAAAUUCCCUGAGCAAUAGAACCUGAAGCUGGUAUGCAGGAAGCUGGCCCGGUGGCAGCUUUGUUGGGACUUCUUUAGGGUCUCUGGCCAGUGUUGGCCCUGUAAAUUUACACAUCAUGGUGGCAACACAAGGCAGGGCUUCUUGCCCAAGCGGGGGCUGGCAAGCAAUAACUCAAUACCUCUCGCCCAUAUUUCCAUAAAAAUAUCUCCCUUUAAAGCCUGGCUAAAAGGUUAUCUAGAUGCGUCAGUAGCUUUGUGCUUGUGGGAAGGGUUUUCCCCAAGGUUUCAGGAUUCCUCUGGCUUUUCAGCCAGUGGCUCAGAAUACAGCAACUCAAAAGUCAGUUAGAGUCUGUGGUAGCCAGAAAGUCUGUGGUAGCCAGAAAGAAGGUUAGGAAGCAGCUUGCAUUGGGACGUAUGGUGGGAUCCCCUUGAUUCUCCUUCUAGUCCCGAUUUUCAUUUAUCCCCAUUGGGGAUCGUCCCUAAAAAAGCCCCAUAUAAUUCCAUCUGAUCCAUAUUUAUCGCACCCCAAAGGCACCUCAGUGAAUGAUGCUAUCCCUCCGGAAUUGUUCCGUGAAAUAUGCAUCUUUGGAUCAGGCAGUUGAGCUUACCAACAAAUUGGAGGAGGUGCCUUGUUGGCAUUAUGUGAUAUUGAAUCGGCUGUUAGGCUGCUGCUGGUUCACCCUCAAGAUUUUAAGUAGUUAGGCUUUAAUUGGAUGGUCCUUAUAUGGAUAAGGCGAUGCCAGUUGGUUGCUCAAUAGGCUGUGCAGCACUUGAGUCCUUUAGCGCCUUUCUGGAUUGGACAUUGCGAGUCAAGACUCGUUUAACUGGGGGUAUCGUUAUGUGGAUUAUUUUACUGGCUGGUUCAUGUGACACCAGCCUCUGCUUAGCUUACUAGAUGCCCCUUUAUUCCCUGAGGAGCUGGGUGUUCUGUUGGCAGUGGAGGACAGUGGCUCCUACUGCCCCUUUUAAUGUAUUUGGGGGCUAGCUGGAUACCGUUGCUCAAACAUCUGCUUGCCUGUGGAAAAGCUGUUUGCCUUGAAGGAUGUUAUUCUUGUAAUACUUCCUCUGAAGCAAGUGUUGCUUUGUCAGAUCCUAUCAUUCCUAGGUCGGUUAAAUUUUGCAUGCAGGGUGGUUGCUCCAGGCUGCCCCUUCCAUUCCUGCUUGGCCAGGUGGUCUCAUGGCCCGGUGUCCCUUCAUCAUCAUGUACAGUGGCCUUGAGCCUGGCAGGGCAAGGCAAUCACAUGUAACCUAACUUUUCUUGAGUUUUCCUCAUUGUAGUGUCAGCGCACAUCUGGACUGAGGAGUUUAGGGACCGUCAGGUCUGUCUUGGUCUGAUAACCAGGCAGUGUGAGAGUCCUGGCAAAACGGUCUUCAUGCUCUGGCAGAGUCUUUUUUUUUUUUUUUUAAUUUUUUUUUAUUGAUUUUACAGAGAAGUUUUAGACAAUACAAACAAAUAAAAAGACAUACAAACAUGUAUAGUUUCAUAACCUUUUUUUCAUAUCCCUCUCUUCUCGGACUCCCCCAAACCUCCCCUUCCUACAUCCCAAUUUCCAAAAUUAUUUCAGCAAAUUCUAAAUAAUUUUAUCAAAUAUAUUUUUUCUUAUUCUUUUCUUCAACUUAAUCUUAUGUCGCUGUAAUCUCCUUUUCUUUCUCCAAACCUCGACAUUUUAGCAUUCCUCAAUUUUAUAAUAGUUCUUAAGAUAAAUUUUAAAUUUCUUCCAAUCUUCUUUCGCCGUCUCUUUCCCCUGCUCACGGAUUCUGCCAGUCAUCUCAGCCAAUGUCAUAUAGUCUAUCACCUUCAUCUGCCACUCUUCCAGGGUGGGUAGUUCUUCUGUCUUCCAAUACUUUGCAAUGAGUAUUCUUGCUGCUGUCGUAGCAUACAUAAAAAAAGUUCUAUCUUUCUUUAACACCAAUUGGCCGGCAAUGCCCAAGAGAAAGGCUUCUGGUUUCUUCGGGAAAGUACAUUUAAGUACCUUUUUCAGUUCAUUAUAUAUCAUUUCCCAGAAAGCCUUAAUCUUCGGGCACGUCCACCAAAGGUGAUAGAAAGUACCUUCAGUUUCUUUACACUUCCAACACUUAUUAUCAGGCAAAUGAUAAAUUUUUGCUAGCUUGACUGGGGUCAUGUACCACCUAUAGAUCAUUUUCAUAAUAUUUUCCUUUAAGGCAUUACAUGCCGUAAAUUUUAUACCUGUGUUCCACAACCAUUCCCAGUCAGCAAACAUAAUGUUAUGACCAAUGUCCUGUGCCCACUUAAUCAUAGCUGAUUUAACUAUUUCAUCUUGUGUAUUCCAUUUCAGCAGCAGAUUAUACAUUCUUGACAAGUUCUUAGUAUUGGGUUCUAACAGUUCAGUUUCUAAUUUUGAUUUCUCCGCCUGGAAGCCAAUUUUCCUGUCUUGUUUAUACACCUCCAUUAUUUGAUAAUAAUGGAGCCAAUCUCGAACUUUGGGUUUCAAUUUCUCAUAACUCUGUAACUUCAACUUAUCUCCAUCUUGUUCCAAAAUUUCCCGAUACUUUAGCCAUUCGGCUUCCAUAUUAAGCUUUUUCAACUGCUCUGGCAGAGUCUUCGCACUGCUUAAGGUUUAAUAUUGCGUUUCUGCUCACUUUAUUUCGGGAUCAUCUAAUGUUUUUGCUGUGGCUCUAUCCCGUUUUUUCAGUUGGAGAGCUUCAGAUCCUGGGCUCUGGACACCCAGCUAUUUUUCUGGAGCUCCUGUGGCACUUGGCAACAAUUAAUAAUUAUGAGGAAUCGUAGCUUACGUUUCCCCAUCCGCUUUCAGGUCUUAUGAGGCCUGGACUGAUUUCUUAAAAUUUAGCUGGUAGUCCUCAGCCAUUCAGAGGAACCUGCCCCCAUCCUCUGAGCAGGACCUGCAGUAAUUCGCCCACCUGCUGCAGAUAGGAUGCAGUGUUAAAACUAUCAGAAUUCAGUCCGCUGCAAUGUCUGCUAGAGUAAAGCUUUAAUUUUCAGAGACCCUUCUAAAAGUGUGUCAUGCGCAGGGUCUCAGAAGGUUGGAAUAGGCUCUGACCUUCACAGGACAGCAGGCAGGAAGCCGGUCAAUCUUUGACCUAUGCAGUAUCUGCAACAAGUUGAGACUUGUUGGCUGGUUCAAGAUCAAGACGAGACUUAUUUCAGUAUUCCAUUGUAAUUUUGGUGUACUGAGGGUUGGGGAAAUUGUGUUGGAGCCAGCACGGGGCUGAGAGUUUGGAGGCUUAUUGCCUCAGGACUUUUCCUUAUCUGCUUUGGAGCUUGUCAUAAGUGUCUGGAGCUCUAAGUCAGACCUAGUGAGCAGGGUUGCCACCAUCAGGCUUCCAGUCACAGGUGAGGUGGGCCCUUGCCCUGUUAUUGGAUACCAAAAAUAUUUGGCUUUUCGUUCCCCUGGGGGCUGGCUCGAUCCUAGUGCACAGAAAUGGGUUCCGGUUCGACAGGCAUCUAAUUGCUCACGUCGUGCGCCAGUUAUUGCAGCCUGCAGCUUGCCUACCGCUGAACACGCCUCAUUCCUUCCAAAUAGGUGCUGCUGCAAAGGCUGCGCAUUGGGGCCUGUUAGUAGACAGGAUUGUGAAUACGGGUCAUUGGAAGUCUGACGCUGACAAAGGUUAUGUCAGGAAGCAUCGCCAAUGAUGCCUGUGCUGAUGCCUGUCUGUUAUUCCUUUUUCAUAGGAGCAGCUGUGCGCAUUUGGAUUGUCGGCCACAGCAUCAUGCACUGAGCUGGCAAGCACCCUGACGAGUCUGGACUGGGGGCGCCAUCUCGGCCUUCCUGCCCAUGUUUCUAGCUCCAGUCCGCAUCUGGAUUGUGGGGCACAGCAUCGUUUACUGGGCUGGCAUCAGAGCUAGGCAGUCUGGAAGGGGACUGGGUCUUGGCCUCCCGCAGCAUGUGCAGGUGUUGUGGAUGUCCAGGCGCAGAAUGCAGUGGAGCGAAUUCAUCCCGCUAAUUAAGCAGAGGGUGCUUCGGAUGCCCCCCAUGGCAAUUGUGGUUCAGCUGGGGGAGAACGAUGUGGCAACUUAUGAUUGCUUUACUUUGCGCUCCACGAUUCAGAGAGACUUGGGUGAAUUGGUGACCUUAAUACCCACAGUUAAAAUAUUUUGGUCACAAUUGCUGCAAAGGCGCAAUUGGCACGGCAUUUCUCGACCUGAGGCUGCUGAAAGGGCCAGGAAGCUCAUUAAUUCUGCAGUGUGUAAGAAGGUGGCGGAUUUGGGUGGAUUGGUUAUUUCCCGCCCGGAUAUUACCUUCAAGGCUCUGGCCCUUUACCGCAAUGAUGGAGUACAUCUCUCUGUACUGGGGAAUGAUGUUUGGUUGGAUGCGGUAACUGCAAGGUUGAAGGUUGGGUUGGGAUUGUGAGUGGUUGGCGGCGAGCGUAAAGGGCUCGAUUGGCGGUUAGGCAUUGGUUAUAAAUUGGUGGAGGAGGGGUUAGGAUAGGCUGGGCCUGCCCCUCCAUGGUUGCUGCGGAAAGGGAAUUCCGUUAAAGGAAUCCUGGGGCUUGCCAUCUUUUCGUCCAAUCCCUGGAAUGGGACUAGGGCCGGCAAGCCUUCGGGGAGCAUGCGGAUGAGAAUUGAGGGUCUGUGGUACCCAGCUCCAUUUCUCUCCGACUUGCUUUCCCCCGCACUGUCUUUCGGUGGUGCCCGGAAGUCAGUUCUGUCCCCAGGCGGGGGGACAGAUAGUCUUAACCAAUGCCUAAACAACCACUCACGGUUUUGUAUUUAAAUAAAGUUGUGGCCAAAAUUAUGCCAAAAACCUUAAACAAAAAUUAAGUGUGCGUUGUGAGUUAUUUGGGGGGUG